rnacentral:rRNA from 1 species
AGACAGCAGCAGCCACGGUAAAACGGAGGGUGCAAGCGUUAAUCGGAUUUACUGGGCGUAAAGCGUGCGUAGGCGGCUUCUUAAGUCGGAUGUGAAAUCCCUGAGCUUAACUUAGGAAUUGCAUUCGAUACUGGGAAGCUAGAGUAUGGGAGAGGAUGGUAGAAUUCCAGGUGUAGCGGUGAAAUGCGUAGAGAUCUGGAGGAAUACCGAUGGCGAAGGCAGCCAUCUGGCCUAAUACUGACGCUGAGGUACGAAAGCAUGGGGAGCAAACAGGAUUAGAUACCCGAGUAGUCCCUGUCUCUUAUAC